rnacentral:lncRNA from 1 species
CUUAAGAAAGUGCAGCAAGAUAUUCUGCCCAGAUGACCCAUAGUGUCCUGUCUCACUACAGGGGUGGCUAAGGACCAGAAUCAACUGAGCAAGAAGCCAAGAAGAAACAGCCUAGCGACCAGCAGAAGACAAGUGGAUGAGACAGGGUGUGAGGAGGGGAGAGGGACUGGAGGCUGGAACAGUCGGAGCUAUCAAGUAGCCUUUAGACAGCUGAAGCUGAAAUCUCUGAAUCAAUUCUUCCUUUCCUGGAGAAUGAGCAAACUUUUUUUCAGAAAUUGGUUUGAAAUAAAAUAUGAAGCUGGAAUACAAAAGCAUGUUGAUUGGCCUCAAUAUAUCACGUUGAACAAAAAGAAAAGGGUGUUGCAGAUGGAUGGCCUUGGCUGAACUCUGAAAACAAAUCCAAACUGACACACAAAUAUUGGAACAGGUGUCUGCAUCUAAUUUCCCUUUGUGAUCUGGGAAUGACCUUCUUUCGAGAGAGAGGGUGGUCUCUCCUGCUGCACGUGGUGGUCACAGACUUUGUCUUGUGAUUAUUACUUUCUUUCCUAGUCAAAGCAGCUUAUGGAAUACAGUCUACAAAAAGUAUUAGCAAUGCCUAAUGCCUGUAUUUCUCAGUUGCAGAACCCAGUUUUAAGAGAUUGCAAUAUCUUCAAUUUAACUGAAAUUCAAAUUCAGCUCCCAGUGUGCUGAGCUGUUAAAACCUUCCUCUGUCCGCUCCCUGUUUUCUACUACAUGUAUAAACAGAUUAAAGGUCUCUUUAACAUGCAACAGCUUUCACGUCAAAUAUUUUCCACAGGUUUUUAAUAGGAAGAGAUCAGAAAGAUCUGGACCUAAUUCAUCCUGGAGUAAAGGUGCACUAUUGUGCUUUUUUUCUGUUCAUACAGAGCACAAAACAUUUUUCUGGUUGGUGAUUUGUGCUUUAUACAGUAGAAAUCAUAUUUCAUCAAACACUCUGUGACAUUUAUUUUAACAUUGUUUCGCAUUUUUCUUUUUAUACUGACCCAGAUUGUCCUGGCUCACUGGAGCCACUUGGGAGCUGCCCAGGGAGAGCUCUGCACUGCCCUGGCUAACUAAUUCCAACUCUGCUCCCAGCAGAAAUCCUGGUUGACAGAAGUUGCAUCUGGAUCAGACAGCCCAACCUGUUCUUAGAAUGAGGAUGUUAACAAGUUCGGUCAUCUGGAAGCCUAAGACGUACGUUUUAAUUUUUACACAGUGAUGCUAUAAAAUAAGGUGAUUAGGAAGAGCCUUAACAAUCAGUAUUUAAACGUGUGUAAUGGAGAUUUACAUUCAAGUUAU